rnacentral:rRNA from 1 species
UGGGGAAUUUUGGACAAUGGGGGAAACCCUGAUCCAGCCAUCCCGCGUGUGCGAUGAAGGCCUUCGGGUUGUAAAGCACUUUUGGCAGGAAAGAAACGUCAUGGGUUAAUACCCCGUGAAACUGACGGUACCUGCAGAAUAAGCACCGGCUAACUACGUGCCAGCAGCCGCGGUAAUACGUAGGGUGCAAGCGUUAAUCGGAAUUACUGGGCGUAAAGCGUGCGCAGGCGGUUCGGAAAGAAAGAUGUGAAAUCCCAGAGCUCAACUUUGGAACUGCAUUUUUAACUACCGGGCUAGAGUGUGUCAGAGGGAGGUGGAAUUCCGCGUGUAGCAGUGAAAUGCGUAGAUAUGCGGAGGAACACCGAUGGCGAAGGCAGCCUCCUGGGAUAACACUGACGCCCAUGCACGAAAGCGUGGGGAGCAAACAGG